rnacentral:rRNA from 1 species
AGUGAACGCUGGCGGCGUGCUUAACACAUGCAAGUCGAACGAGAACGGGUUAUAGCUUGCUAUAAUUGUCAGCUAAGUGGCGCACGGGUGAGUAAUGUAUAGGUAAUAUGCCUCUUACUAAGGGGUAACAAAUGGAAACGUUUGCUAAUACCUUAUACUCCUUAUUAACAGAAGUUAAUAAGGGAAAGACUUAUUGGUAAGAGAUUAGCCUGUAUUGUAUCAGUUAGUUGGUGGGGUAAUGGCUUACCAAGACUAUGACACAUAACUGGUUUGAGAGGAUGAUCAGUCACACUGGAACUGAGACACGGUCCAGACUCCUACGGGAGGCAGCAGUGGGGAAUAUUGCACAAUGGACGAAAGUCUGAUGCAGCAACGCCGCGUGGAGGAUGACACAUUUCGGUGCGUAAACUCCUUUUAUAUGAGAAGAUAAUGACGGUAUUAUAUGAAUAAGCACCGGCUAACUCCGUGCCAGCAGCCGCCGUAA